rnacentral:rRNA from 1 species
UGCCAGACUCCUACGGGAGGCAGCAGUGGGGGAUAUUGCACAAUGGGGGGAACCCUGAUGCAGCGACGCCGCGUGGGUGAAGGAGUAUUUCGGUAUGUAAAGCCCUAUCGGCAGGGAAGAAGAAAGACGGUACCUGACUAAGAAGCCCCGGCUAACUACGUGCCAGCAGCCGCGGUAAUACGUAGGGGGCAAGCGUUAUCCGGAUUUACUGGGUGUAAAGGGAGCGUAGACGGCAUGGCAAGUCAGAUGUGAAAGCCCGGGGCUCAACCCCGGGACUGCAUUUGAAACUGUCAGGCUGGAGUGCAGGAGAGGUAAGUGGAAUUCCUAGUGUAGCGGUGAAAUGCGUAGAUAUCAGGAGGAACACCGGCGGCGAAGGCGGCCUGCUGGACUGCGACUGACGUUGAGGCUCGAAAGCGUGGGGAGCGAACAGGAUUAGAUACCCCUGUA